UCAAUUCAAAAAUUAAUGAGAAUAUUUUUCAUAGAUCCAUCAUCAUUCAAAUAGGUUAGGAAAAUAUUUUUGCAUUUUUUGAAUAUCAAAAACUAUUUAAAAUGAAUUAAAAAUAACCAGAAAAGAGAAAAAUCAAAAAAAAUAUCAAAUGACAAAAUAAAAAAUAUUAAAAAUCAGAAAUAGAAACUAGAAGUUAUUUGGGAAAUAAUGCAAUUGGUCCCAUAAUUUUUGGAUUAAAAAUGAAA
rnacentral:lncRNA from 1 species